AUGGCGCUCGCAGCGACGCCACGCCAGCGGUCGGCGCCGGCCGUGCUGGUCGCGGCGGCGCUGCUCUCGCUUUCACUCUCACUCUCAUGCGCGCAGGCGCAGGCGCCGCACGUGGCGGUGCCACCCUCGGCUCCCCCGAAGGCGGCGGCGCCGGGCCCGGCCGCGGGGCUGAGCGCGGCGUGCCUCAACUCGCUGCUCAACAUGACGGACUGCCUGCCGUACGUGCAGGCCGGGAGCAAGGCGCGGGCGCCGGACAAGCCGUGCUGCCCGGAGCUGGCCGGCAUGGUGGGCUCCAACCCCGUCUGCCUCUGCGAGCUCCUCUCCGGGGCCGCCGACUCCCUCGGCAUCGCCGUCGACUACGCCCGCGCGCUCGCGCUCCCCGGCGUCUGCCGCGUCGCCACCCCGCCGCUCAGCACCUGCGCAGGUAGUAAUAAACUAACUCGAGCCCUUCCGCUGCAGGUUGCCGCUGGAUUUGCUGCUCUACGAGUCUCUAUUGAGGUGGAUUUGAUCUGUGUGGAUAUUAUUCUCGCAGCAAUGGGAUACAAUGUUCGUCUGGGCCCAUCUCCGGCGCCCGCGCCGGGAUCUCCCUCGCCCAUGUCGCCCGGCGACAGCCCGCAGUACCCUGCUGGUCCUUCGCCGUUCGCCUCGCCGCCGGCGUCGCCGAAGCCCAGCCACGCCGCGCGCAGCAUCCACGCCGCCGGCGUUCUCGUCGCCCUCGCCGCCUCCUUCGCCGUCGGGAUCGUGUUCUUCUAA
rnacentral:rRNA from 1 species